rnacentral:rRNA from 1 species
GACGAACGCUGGCGGCGUGCUUAACACAUGCAAGUCGAACGCUGAAGCCCUUCGUGGUGGAUGAGUGGCGAACGGGUGAGUAACACGUGGGUAAUCUGCCCUGCACUCUGGGAUAAGCCUUGGAAACGGGGUCUAAUACCGGGUAGGACACAUCGCCGCAUGGUGUGUGUGUGGAAAGUUCCGGCGGUGCCGGUUGAGCCCGCGGCCUAUCAGCUUGUUGGUGGGGUGAUGGCAUACCACGGCGACGACGGGUAGACGGCCUGAGAGGGUGACCGGCCACACUGGGACUGAGACACGGCCCAGACUCCUACGGGAGGCAGCAGUGGGGAAUCUUGCGCAAUGGGCGAAAGCCUGACGCAGCAACGCCGCGUGGGGGAUGACGGCCUUCGGGUUGUAAACCUCUUUCGACCGGGACGAAGGAUUCGUUUGACGGUACCGGUAGAAGAAGCACCGGCUAACUACGUGCCAGCCGCCGCCGUAA